UACGUAGGGUGCAAGCGUUGUCCGGAAUUAUUGGGCGUAAAGAGCUCGUAGGCGGUUUGUUGCGUCGGCUGUGAAAUCCCGAGGCUCAACCUCGGGUCUGCAGUCGAUACGAGCAAACUAGAGUGUUGCAGGGGAGACUGGAAUUCCUGGUGUAGCGGUGAAAUGCGCAGAUAUCAGGAGGAACACCAGUGGCGAAGGCGGCACUCUGGGCCGGAACUGACGCUGAGGAGCGAAAGUGUGGGGAGCGAACAGG
rnacentral:rRNA from 1 species